rnacentral:rRNA from 1 species
GAUGAACGCUGGCGGCGUGCCUAAUACAUGCAAGUCGAGCGAAUGGAUUGAGAGCUUGCUCUCAAGAAGUUAGCGGCGGACGGGUGAGUAACACGUGGGUAGCCUGCCCAUAAGACUGGGAUAACUCCGGGAAACCGGGGUUAAUACCGGAUAACAUUUUGAACUGCAUGGUUCGAAAUUGAAAGGCGGCUUCGGCUGUCACUUAUGGAUGGACCCGCGUCGCAUUAGCUAGUUGGUGAGGUAACGGCUCACCAAGGCAACGAUGCGUAGCCGAACUGAGAGGGUGAUCGGCCACACUGGGACUGAGACACGGCCCAGACUCCUACGGGAGGCAGCAGUAGGGAAUCUUCCGCAAUGGACGAAAGUCCGAAGCAGCAACGCCGCGUGAGUGAUGAAGGCUUUCGGGUCGUAAAGCUCUGUCGAAAGGGAAAAAAUGUUCAUGGCUAACAUCCAUGAGCUUUGAUGGUACCUUACAAGAAAGCACCGGCUAACUACGUGCCAGCCGCCGCCGUAA